rnacentral:rRNA from 1 species
GGCCGCGGGAAUUCGAUUGGCUGAUUAGCUAGUUGGCGGGGUAACGGCCCACCAAGGCGAUGAUCAGUAGCCGGCCUGAGAGGGCGCACGGCCACACUGGAACUGAAACACGGUCCAGACUCCUACGGGAGGCAGCAGUGGGGAAUUCUGCGCAAUGGGGGAAACCCUGACGCAGCAACGCCGCGUGGAGGAUGAAGUCCCUUGGGACGUAACCUCCUUUCGACCGGGACGAAUCAUGACGGUACCGGUGGAAGAAGCCCCGGCUAACUUCGUG